CUGUGUUUACACGGCGAGACCGCGGACGGCUCAUUAAAUCAGUCGUGGUCUACAUGGGCCAGUGCAAAUCCUACUUGGAUAACUGUGGUAAUUCCAGAGCUAAUACAUGCAACUGAUAUCCCGAAGGCUGGUGCUUGCUUGWCUUGCGCUUUGCUCUGACGGAUGCUUUUAUUAGACCAAGCCGCUGAGGACUCGAUGGCUCACGCCUUCUUGUUCGACUCGUGUGAUGGUGACUCUGGAUAACCAAUUCUGACAAGCGAACGUACUCCUCUUUGAGCGAGACGGCGCUGCCACUUUCGAGUGUCUGCCUUAUCAGCUAUCAACCGUUCGUUAUGCGCGACCGAUGGCUUUGACGGGUAACGGGGAAUCAGGGUUCGAUUCCGGAGAGGCAGCCUGAGAGACGGCUACCACGUCCAAGGACGGCAGCAGGCACGCAAAUUACCCAAUCCCAGCAAAUGGGGGAGGUAGUGACGAAAUCUAACGAUGCGGGCGCCCUUUCUGGGGCCCCGCAAUCGGAAUGGGCACUUUCUAAAACACCUGUUGAGAACCUACUGAAGGGCAAGUNNNNNNNNNNNNNNNNNNNNNNNNNNNCGGUUAAAAGGCUCGCAGUUGAAUGUCUGUAUCGAGCGCAGGUAGGUGGACGUU
rnacentral:rRNA from 1 species